rnacentral:rRNA from 1 species
UGGGGAAUCUUGGACAAUGGGGGCAACCCUGAUCCAGCCAUGCCGCGUGAGUGAUGAAGGUCUUAGGAUUGUAAAGCGCUUUCAGCGGGGGAAGAUGAUGACGGUACCCGCAGAAGAAGCCCCGGCUAACUCCGUGCCAGCAGCCGCGGUAAUACGGAGGGGGCUAGCGUUGUUCGGAAUUACUGGGCGUAAAGGGCGUGUAGGCGGCCAAUUAAGUCAGAGGUGAAAUCCCCGAGCUCAACUUGGGAACUGCCUUUGAUACUGGUUGGCUAGAGUUCGGGAGAGGUGAGUGGAAUUCCAAGUGUAGAGGUGAAAUUCGUAGAUAUUUGGAGGAACACCAGUGGCGAAGGCGGCUCACUGGCUCGAUACUGACGCUGAGGUGCGAAAGUGUGGGGAGCAAACAGGAUUAGAUACCCUGGUAGUCUACACCGUAAACGAUGAAUGCCAGUCGUCGGGUAGCAUGCUAUUCGGUGACACACCUAACGGAUUAAGCAUUCCGCCUGGGGAGUACGGUCGCAGAUUAAAA